GGGUCAAUAGCUCAGUUGGUUAGAGCUCCCGGCUCAUAACCGGGUGGUCCUGGGUUCAAGUCCCGGUUGACCCA
rnacentral:tRNA from 1 species